AAAGAAACCAACCGGGAUUGCCUCAGUAACGGCGAGUGAAGCGGCAAGAGCUCAAAUUUGAAAGCUGGCUCCUUCGGGGUCCGCAUUGUAAUUUGCAGAGGAUGCUUCGGGUGCAGCCCCCGUCUAAGUGCCCUGGAACGGGCCGUCAUAGAGGGUGAGAAUCCCGUAUGGGGCGGGGUGUCUGCGUCCGUGUGAAGCUCCUUCGACGAGUCGAGUUGUUUGGGAAUGCAGCUCUAAAUGGGUGGUAAAUUUCAUCUAAAGCUAAAUACUGGCCGGAGACCGAUAGCGCACAAGUAGAGUGAUCGAAAGAUGAAAAGCACUUUGAAAAGAGAGUUAAACAGCACGUGAAAUUGUUGAAAGGGAAGCGCUUGCAACCAGACUCGCUCGUGGGGUUCAGCCGGGCUUCGGCCCGGUGUACUUCCCCGCGGGCGGGCCAGCGUCGGUUUGGGCGGCCGGUCAAAGGCCUCCGGAAUGUAGCGCCCUUCGGGGCGCCUUAUAGCCGGGGGUGCAAUGCGGCCAGCCUGGACCGAGGAACGCGCUUCGGCACGGACGCUGGCAUAAUGGUUGUAAACGAC
rnacentral:rRNA from 1 species